rnacentral:sRNA from 2 species
AGCCUGCCGUGCGAUGAACUGAGAAACGUUUUUCGAAAUUUCCGAUACAUUUUUCCCCACUUGACACCCCGUGCCAUCAAUCAAAUCGUUGCUGCUUUCUCCAUCAACAUUCUUGCUGUCUAUCAAAGAAUUUGACGAAAGCAUCCCUGCUUUCGCUAGCGCUUUGGAAAGGCUCUUUCCCCAAUUGAUUUCCCUGCACUCACCAACCGUUUUCCAUUGCGGAAUGUCAACACCGGAUAGGGUUUCGGGAUUUCCCACUUCGUUUGGUUGAGCGGAGCUGCUGGCUUCCCUUCGAGGAACAUUGCUUCCUUGCAAAUCAAGCUUGUGGUCGAUUACCCGUCCAAUGAGGAAGUCAGAGUGAUCAGUCUCCUUAUUGUUCAUGGUCAGCUCAGAUCCAACAAGUUCAACAUGAUUGGAGGUUUCUGGCAUCGCAGGAUUUGGUUUAAGGUCGACGACACCCUCGAUAGAAUGCAUGGGCUGCACCUGAACAUCUUCAGAAGUUACUCCAGGUGAAACUACGUCUGUGUUUCCUGUCCAAUUUUGCCGGUUGGCAACCAAUAUCGGUGGACUUGAUUCGAUCGGAUCAUCAAGGUCAUAUGUUGCAUUUUCAUAUUCGUUGGCUAAUGCGAGCUUCUGAUUUGCUUUCUCAGCCGCAGCUCGCCGCUGACGAGCGGAUGUCAAGGUUUUCGUAACUUGACGGCCCGUUUUCUUCGUAUUACUUUUAGCUGACGUUCGAGCUUCAUGUGGUGUCAAGGGGAGGGUUUGAGCCAGUUUCUUAUUCUUCUUUUUUGUUGAGCAUGAGGCGCUCUUUAAUUUGGAGGUUUUGGUAGGGCCCUGGGAC